rnacentral:sRNA from 1 species
GCCGGGCAUGGUGAUACAUGCCUGUAAUCCCAGUGACUUGGGAGGCUGAUGCAGGAGGAUCACAAGUUUAGAGGCCGCCUUAAGCAACUUAGUGAGGCCCUAAGCAACUUAGACCCUGUCUCAA